GCCAGGUGUCGUGGUGGGCGCCUGUAGUCCCAGCUACUCGGAGGCUGAGGCAGGAGACUCACUUGAACCCAGGAAGUGGAGGUUGCAGUGAGCCAAGACUGUGCCAUUGCCCUCCAGCCUAGGUGACAGAGUGAGACCCUGUCUCCA
rnacentral:SRP_RNA from 1 species